UCUAAACCAAGCCAUUUCCUCAACCUCCCCAAGCCGAACGUCACUUUCGAAACCCAUGGCAAGCACCGUUCUAAUCUUGGAUUUGGCUUCGACCCCGAACAAAUGAUUACAAAGUGUUGAGAAUGGUGAAACUCUCCAGUAAUGAUGAGACCGUGGUUGAGAUUUACUCUCUGAAUUCAAAUUCUUGGUAAAUUCUUAGCAAAGCUGUGUUAAAAUAUGGCAUUGUUGCUGCUUACCCACAGGCAUUUGGUUUUGGGUUUUGAUUUAGGGGAAGAGGUAUUUCGACAUGAUUUUGCGGCAAAAUUUUGCAGAGGUAAGGUCUUUGUUUGUGUUUCAGGAGUCAACUAUUGCUAUACAAUAACGUGUUAUGAUUCUAUUCAGUGCCAUCUGUGGUUGAUGAAGAAGUAUGGUGUUGUAGGGCCAUGGACUAAGCUGCUAAGUUAUGACAAUGGAAUCAUCAAAAUUACUAAUGGCAAUUGGAAUUAGGAAAACUGGAGCAUUACUUUCAGGAUUCCAGGGAGGACAGCUUGCUUCAUAUGAUGAAGAGAGCCAGAAGAUCAAGCAUUGGAUUCAUCAGAAACCAGGCACUUAUUUUCUGCAGACUUGUGAGCAAAGCCUAGUGUUACUUGACAAAGAAAAUCGUUAGUAAUGCAACUUGUGAUUAGGGAGGAAGCAAAGAGGGUCAAAAACGGUUUCUGCUAAUAAGAAAUAUUUUCUUUCCAAAUGUUUCUGAUUAACAACUAUUUCAAUGUUUGCUACCUUGUCUGUGUUUAUAGUCUGUGUUGAUCUGUGAGUUGUUUUGACGUGGGUGACGAGGUUUUUCCACGCCAAUCUGCUACCAUAAAGUUAACACGAGAAGAUUGGAUCAGUGAUUUUGUUUAAGGAGUCGACCAUUGCUAUUUUCAUAUAGAUUACCAUUGUCAUCGGUGGCUGAUGAAGAGGUAUGGUGACUUUGGGUCAUGGACUAAGCUGUUCAUUGAUGAGACUCAAGAGGGAUCACUACCAAGGACGUUAAGAUUUAGAAGAAGUGGAGAACUACUGUUGAGCUUCAGUUAAGUGGAGAUUGUUUUAUAUAAUUUAGAGAACCAGCAGACCAAGAGCCUUGGGAUUGAUAAGAAUCUACAUGAGUUUAUAUUCAAUGUUACUUAAUAAAGCUCACCGCUAGGCAUGCAGGCAAAAUGCAAGACAGGUCAAGAGUAUACUA
rnacentral:misc_RNA from 1 species